UAGUCCACGCCGUAAACGAUGAGUACUAGGUGUUGGGGGUUUCGAUACCUUCGGUGCCGCAGUUAACACAAUAAGUACUCCGCCUGGGGAGUACGGUCGCAAGACUGAAACUCAAAGGAAUUGACGGGGGCCCGCACAAGCGGUGGAGCAUGUGGUUUAAUUCGACGCAACGCGAAGAACCUUACCAAGACUUGACAUCCUGUUGACCGUUCGGGUAAUGCCGAACCUCUCUUCGGAGCAACAGUGAC
rnacentral:rRNA from 1 species